UACAGAGACUGCAAGCGUUAUUCGGAUUCACUGGGCGUAAAGGGUGCGCAGGCGGCCGUGUGUGUGAGGCGUGAAAGCCCGAUGCUUAACAUCGGAAUUGCACCUCAAACUACACGGCUAGAGCAUUGGAGAGGGUAGCGGAAUUCACGGGUGUAGCAGUGAAAUGCGUAGAUAUCGUGAGGACACCAGAGGCGAAGGCGGCUACCUGGACAAUUGCUGACGCUCGAGGCACGAAGCGGUGGGGAGCAAAAGGG
rnacentral:rRNA from 1 species